GGGGCUGUAGCUCAGCAGUAGAGCACUUGCCUAGCAUGUGUGAGGCCCUGGGUUCGAUCCCCAGCACCA
rnacentral:tRNA from 1 species